AGGGGGAGCGCAGGAUCCUGGACUGUGUCUCCCGGCACCCUGGGAUCUGGGACCUGUGUCACUGGAAUCGUGUUCCUGUGCCACACAGCCCCCU
rnacentral:pre_miRNA from 1 species